rnacentral:rRNA from 1 species
UACGGGGGGAGCAAGCGUUGUUCGGAUUGACUGGGCGUAAAGGGCGCGUAGGCGGUCAGCACAAGUCGGUUGUGAAAUCUCCGGGCUUAACUCGGAAAGGUCAACUGAUACUGUGCGACUAGAGUGCGGAAGGGGCAACUGGAAUUCUCGGUGUAGCGGUGAAAUGCGUAGAUAUCGAGAGGAACACCUGCGGCGAAGGCGGGUUGCUGGGCCGACACUGACGCUGAUGCGCGAAAGCUGGGGGAGCAAACGGG